GUGUCAGCGCUGGUCUCUCAUCCCUCUGAGUGGGUUAUUUUAUGGAAUGCUGGAACAGGAUAGAGGAGUUGCAAAGGGGGAGUGACAAGAGCCUAGACAGAGAGAGAGAGAGAGAGAGAGAGAGAGAGAGAGAGAGAGAGAGAGAGAGAGAGAGAGACUAUAUAUAUAUCCUAAGGAGGCUGGUGCUCACAGGCACAGCUGGACUACUGGAUAACUGGACUGCAGCCCAUUGGACAUUUAACUAAAAAGGCACCAGCAAAGCCUUUGGAAAUCCUUUUAGAUUAGUUACUGUGAAACAUAUAGUUCAAAGAUGAACAGUGUGGCAGACUGGCUCGUGAACAACAGGGACAAGAUAGAGAAAGGUGUGGAGAUCAUGGGCAAGCCUCUGAGGUGCUAGCUGCCACUGUGGGCCAGUUACACCCCGUCUUGGAGGCCGUGUUUGUGGCCUCAGCCGAGCUGCUCAGCAACCCGGACAGCAAAGAGGCUCGCUACUUAACUCAACAAUUCGAGAUGGUGAACCAGAAACUUGAAGGAAUCCAAGAUGAGAUUGAUAAACUUGCCCUGGAGCUGCAGAGGACGUCGAUGAACAAGCAAAACUUUGAUCGAGAGGCACAGAUGAUCAGCCAGUAUGAGAAGUUUCAGGUCUUUGUCAACGCCAAGCCAAAGUUCAAGGAGAAAAGAUGGAGAAAUUCAUCAGCCAUUAUGAGAGCACCGAUAUGGAUUUAAACUUGGAUGCCCUCUACAAUUCUGUCACUGGGGAGAACACCUCAGGAGACCCUAUGCUGGAAACUGUAGUUAAUACAGAGCAGAGAAGCAGAAGAGCAGUGGAGGACUUCUGUGCUCGACUGAAGAAGCUUUUUGUGGUUGGCAUUAUCGCUGUCAUGGGUUAUGCUGCCCUCAAGGAAGGAGGAGUUGGGGAGGAGAUGGUGAAGAAGUGGCAAGGACGAAUGGAGGAAGUGGAAAAGCGAAUGAAAGCAGCUGUGGAUGACUGUACAGAGAACUUUGCCACACAAGCCAAGGUGGACAUAGAGCAUCUAGUUCAGGAGAACCCGGGCACUGCCGACCUGAACUUCACCAACACCAUCUUGGAUGCUCUUGCUAAGAAAUACGACUGGGUGAACUGGUCCAUCAGGGCCUUUAAUGACCGGGAGCGCAUUUUCUUUUUUAACUGGCUAGCUGGAAAGAAGUACCAUGGAAGUGGGGGAGCCAACUGGUUUGACCUUUUGACCAAGAACAAGAUCAAGAUUGUGGUCUCUUUCUGUGUCAACCCCAAGCCUAUUAACAAGAGUCAGAUCCAGGAGAAGAUUGAGCAGGAGAAGUUGAAGGGGAACAUGAUGGCAGUUGCUCUGUCUUUGAACAAAAGCUUCCCCAACUGCCUGGUCCAUGCUGUCAGCCAUUACAAGGCAGUGGUGCAGUCCACCAACUUCCAAGAGGAUUGUUACUACUUUGGAAAACACAAACGAGCGUACUUGUGCAUUCAUCCUGAGUAGGCCAAUGAAAAAUGUAAUGUGUACCUUCUUAUUGAUGAAUUUAUGAAUGUCUUUAUCAGAGACUUGAAAAUAUCUCCAUUCAAUAUAGAAAUGUAUUCCUAAAUCUUGCCUCUGUUGAUGUGUAAUCAGCUCUGUCUGGGUUUUGCUAUGUGACCCAUUGUCUAAUGCAACAAUUUAUAUUCUUAUAUGUGUAGCUUUGAGGUGAGAAAAUUCAGAGCCAGAUGUGUCCAUGCCAGCUUUGUCUUAGCAUUAGGGUCGUGAAUCUGUUCCCACUGAAUAUUAGCCUGCUAAGGGUGGAUGACUGAGAAAUAUGUGUUUGUGAGCUUUCAGAGAUUUUAAGAUUAUAUGUGAAAAUCUACCCUUGGAAAAAUGCUGGCUUUGGAUGUUCUGAAGAUGACAUUCGUGACUAUCAAAACUGGGUUUGGAUGGGAUUAUUAGUCAGCGACUUGGUUCUGAAUAAAAAAAUAUUAAAGAGGUGUUCAAC